rnacentral:rRNA from 1 species
AACGAACGCUGGCGGCAUGCCUAACACAUGCAAGUCGAACGAGACCUUCGGGUCUAGUGGCGCACGGGUGCGUAACGCGUGGGAACCUGCCCUUAGGUUCGGAAUAACUCCCCGAAAGGGGUGCUAAUACCGGAUAAUGUCUUCGGACCAAAGAUUUAUCGCCUUUGGAUGGGCCCGCGUUGGAUUCGCUAGUUGGUAGGGUAAAAGCCUACCAAGGCGACGAUCCAUAGCUGGUCUGAGAGGAUGAUCCGCCACACUGGGACUGAGACACGGCCCAGACUCCUACGGGAGGCAGCAGUGGGGAAUAUUGGAAUAUGGGCGGAAGCCUGAUCCAGCAAUGCCGCGUAAGUGAUGAAGUCCUUAGGGUUGUAAAGCUCUUUUAUCCGGGAUGAUAAUGACAGUACCGGGAGAAUAAGCUCCGGCUAACUCCGUG